GUGCCUGUAGUUCAGCGGUGGAAUCCCAGAUUGUGGAUCUGGUUGUCGUGGGUUCGAACCCCACCAGGCACC
rnacentral:tRNA from 2 species